GAGACUCUGUGCGCGUGCAUAUCAAUAAGCGGAGGAAAAGAAACUAACAAGGAUUCCCUUAGUAACGGCGAGUGAAGCGGGAAGAGCUCAAAUUUGAAAUCUUCAAGGUUUUACCUUGACGAAUUGUAGUUUAAAGAAGUGUUUUCUGUUGAAGUUUUGGUAAAAGUUCUUUGGAAUAGGACAUCAUAGAGGGUGAGAAUCCCGUAUUUGACCAUUAUUUUCAGCUGUGUGAUACACUUUCAAAGAGUCGGAUUGUUUGGGAAUGCAGUCCAAAAUGGGUGGUAAAUUUCAUCUAAAGCUAAAUAUUGGCGAGAGACCGAUAGCGAACAAGUACCGUGAGGGAAAGAUGAAAAGAACUUUGAAAAGAGAGUUAAACAGUACGUGAAAUUGUCAAAAGGGAAGCGUUUGACACCAGUGUUGUUUUCUCGAAAAUCAAUUAAAAAGAGUUGGAUUUUGUGUUGUAUUGACCUUAACAGCUUGCUUCACUCUUUUCCUGCUUUUUUUAAUGCACUUUUCGUUUAACAAGUCAACAUCAGUUUCUUUUGUUGUAAAAGGGUCAUUGGAAGGUGGCCUUCUCUUCGGAGAAAGUGUUUAUAGCCUUUGAUCUCUGCAAUCGGAGAGACUGAGGUCUGCAGCGUAGAUCCUUCGGGGUUAGAUACAUUUGUGCUAAGCUACAGCUUUUCAUAGACAAUUUGUUGUCUAUGUUUAGUCUUGUGACUUACCCGCUUAUGCUAUUUUACCUACGCUUAGGAUGUUGAAUCUGUGCGAGACUAC
rnacentral:rRNA from 1 species